rnacentral:rRNA from 1 species
AACGAACGCUGGCGGCAUGCCUAACACAUGCAAGUCGAACGAGACCUUCGGGUCUAGUGGCGCACGGGUGCGUAACGCGUGGGAACCUGCCCUUAGGUUCGGAAUAACUCCCCGAAAGGGGUGCUAAUACCGGAUAAUGUCUUCGGACCAAAGAUUUAUCGCCUUUGGAUGGGCCCGCGUUGGAUUAGCUAGUUGGUAGGGUAAAAGCCUACCAAGGCGACGAUCCAUAGCUGGUCUGAGAGGAUGAUCAGCCACACUGGGACCUAGACACGGCCCAGACUCCUACGGGAAGCCGGAAGUGGGGAAAAUUGAACAUGGGCGAAAGGCUGAGCCAGCAAUGGCGGGUUGGUGGAGAAGGGCUUAGGGUUGUAAAGCUCUUUUACCCGGGAUGAUAAUGACAGUACCGGGAGAAUAAGCUCCGGCUAACUCCGUG